rnacentral:rRNA from 1 species
UGAGUACGAGCUGCUACGGCAGCGAAGUGGGUGAUGUCAAGCUUCCAAGAAAAGCCCUAUACCCGUUAAGGCAUGAUGGCCUGUACCCGAAACCGACACAGGUGGGGUGGUAGAGAAUACCGAGGGGCGCGAGAUAACUCUCUCUAAGGAACUCGGCAAAAUGGCCCCGUAACUUCGGGAGAAGGGGUGCCACCGCAAGGUGGUCGCAGUGAAGAGGCCCAGGCGACUGUUUACCAAAAACACAGGUCUCCGCUAAGUCGGAAGACGAUGUAUGGGGGCUGACGCCUGCCCAGUGCCGGAAGGUUAAGGAAGCUGGUCAGCGUAAGCGAAGCUAGCGACUGAAGCCCCGGUGAACGGCGGCCGUAACGAUAACGGUCCUAAGGUAGCGAAAUUCCUUGUCGGGUAAGUUCCGACCCGCACGAAAGGCGUAACGAUCUGGGCGCUGUCUCGGAGAGAGGCUCGGCGAAAUAGAAUUGUCUGUGAAGAUGCGGACUACGUGCACCCGGACAGAAAGACCCUAUGAAGCUUUACUGUAGCUUGGUAUUGUGCUCGGGCUCGGAAUGCGCAGGAUAGGUGGGAGGCUAUGAACCAUUGCUUGUGGGUGAUGGUGAGCCACUGGUGAGAUACCACUCUUUCCGAGCUAGAGUUCUAACAGCCACCCGUUAUCCGGGGGCUGGACAGUAUCAGGUGGGCAGUUUGACUGGGGCGGUCGCCUCCUAAAAGGUAACGGAGGCGCGCAAAGGUUUGCUCAGGCUGGUUGGAAAUCAGCCGACGAGUGUAAAAGCAGAAGCAAGCUUGACUGUGAGACCUACAAGUCAAACAGGGAGGAAACUCGGCUUUAGUGAUCCGACGGUUCUGCGUGGAAGGGCCGUCGCUCAACGGAUAAAAGUUACUCUAAGGAUAACAGGCUGAUCUCCCCCAAGAGUUCACAUCGACGGGGAGGUUUGGCACCUCGAUGUCGGCUCAUCGCAACCUGGGGCUGAAGUCGGUCCCAAGGGUUGGGCUGUUCGCCCAUUAAAGCGGUACGCGAGCUGGGUUCAGAACGUCGUGAGACAGUUCGGUCCAUAUCCGGUGCAUGCGCAGGAAUAUUGAGAGGAUUUCUCCCUAGUACGAGAGGACCGGGAGGAACGCACCUCUGGUGUACCAGUUAUCGUGCCAACGGUAAACGCUGGGUAGCCAUGUGCGGAGAGGAUAACCGCUGAAAGCAUCUAAGUGGGAAGCCCACCUCAAGAUGAGUAUUCCCAUGGGGUAACCCAGUAAGGUCACGGGAAGAACACCCGUUGAUAGGCUCUACGUGGAAGCGCAGUAAUGUGUGAAGCGGAGGAGUACUAAUAGACCGAGGGCUUGAGU